GCACCAAUUUGUAAGUCGCUCUGGAUAAGAGCGUCUGCUAAAUGACUUAAAUGUAAAUGUAAAUCUAAAUGUCAAUGCCAUAGCAAAAACUGACCGGGAAGAGAAGAGUGUGCUCUGCGCAGUGAAAUUAAUGUUAAAAUACACUUGUGAACUUAAACAAAAAAAACACAACGCACACCUCUACAAAUGUUUUUAUCGUUAGUAAAAUCCCAAACGGAGGCAGGUGGUUCAACUACAGUAAAUCCCUUAAAAACUUGGAUUGAAACGAUCAGAUGGAGACAUCGGAAGCACUAUCCCAUUAGAAGAGGUUGAGUAUUCCGGUAUUUACUGAAAACUGUAGAAUGACAGCCCAUUAAGCACGGAAAUGCUGGGAGAGACAAAUUAUGCAAGAGGCAGCAUAAUGUUGACGUUAUCCAGUGGGUGUUUCUGGCACACUUCCCAGGUAGGAUGGCACAACUGAGAUUACUACCAGAUAAUGUUGUGAAUUUCAGUGUUGUGGGAAACUGACAGCUAUAACCCAGUCUUUCUCUACCCCUAUACAAACUACAAUUGGUCCAUAUUAGUUGAUGAUUAAUAUUAUAGUAAUAUGGUUGAAUGUUAGUACAAUAGUAUGCCAAAGUGUAGCACUGAAAAUAGCUGAGGAAUAUACAACAAUUAUACAACUGAUACUAAAACGGCUACAGCUGUCAUAUCUAUGCUAAGGUUGACUGAGUGAUGAUGUUCUCACCUUGAGAGAAGAGUGGACGGCUGACUCGGACGGGUAGACAAUGAAGUGGCGCAGCGUGAAGCCGAGACACUGCGAGGGAGAAGGUGGAUUGAAUCGAUUGAAACUGUGAAGGAUGCAGCAGAAAGAUUCAGCAGAAAGGCAAAGAGGGAGAAAGAGCGACACAGUCAGACAUGACAUCCGCAGCACACCCAUAAGAUUUAGACAUAAGGGCCUGGUCAGAUAGGAGAACAUGAACAAAUCUAGUCUAAUUUAGAUCUCCCAAUAGGAGACCUUCAGUACAGAUGACAUAAUAACAAUAAACAAUAACAAAGCAAUCCCUGCCCCUGUUUCACUAAAAAGCUGAGGGAUGGGGUAUGGAUAACUGUCACCACUCUCAAAUUCACAGACUGAGCUAGGACUGACCAUCCAAGAUACAUUUUUGUUGUUGUUGUUUUAACCAUGUUUUGAGGCUAUAUAGUGUGUCUACAUUUACUUUGUUUACAAACAUUGGAAUAAAACAACCUUAUAUUU